UAUUAGUUGAUUAUAAGAAACUUUUCCUUCAAAACCUAUCUUUCAAUGUUAUUCAAACCUUUUAAGCAAAUAGUGUUGGUAAAUUACUAAUAAAUUUUUCUUUCCAAUAGUCCUGCUUGUAAUCUUUGAGAAUCAUAUCUUUUUUUAUGAAGACAUUUUUAUACCACCUAAAAUCAUAUAACUUUGGACAAGAAUUGGAUAUAAUUAUUUAUAAUAUUAUCUUCUAGCUAGUUCUAAUCUAUUUAUCUUAUCCUUCUUUUUAUUAGAGGCUUGAUUAUCCUUAGAAUGGUAUCUGAGUUUUCUACAGUUCCAACACGCAUUACUGUGGAAUAAAGUUCAAAGCCAGAAAGUGACAAAGUGAACCCCGCAAGAAUAAAGCCACAAAUUGACAAAAGGAUCAAAUAACAAGAUUUAUGUUUUGAAGAUAUGAUUUCAGGAAAAGAAGAUAAACAUGCAGUGAAGGCUACGUGUAAGUAGUUCCAGCUACGUGACAUCUAUUCCAAGCCACAUACAAUUAUCAUCAAUUAUUUGUAAUAGGUAGUAGUUAUGUGUAAAAAGAAUAAUGUGUCUUAGUGUAUGCACACAUGUAAAAUAGAUAGCAUAAAAGUUAAAUUUGUGAGGAUUUUUGGAGGCCUAUUUAAGAUUUUCACCUUGUAUCAGUAGGGAGCAUUCAAAAUAUUACUGACUUUGAAAAAUCUCUACAAUUCUCUCCAUUUUUCCAUCAGUUCCAUUUCUCCCAUCAAUAUUCUUUGUUUCAUUAAAUCAAUAAAACAAAAUUUGAAAUAUAUGCUACAUAACUGCACACGUAGCUUUGUUGCAUGCACAUUUUUUUGUGGAAAAUCUUGAUAUCAAGUCCUUUGUCACUUUGUGACUUGGACUGUUGUUCUUGUGGUAUCCACGUGUUGGUUUGUUGACAUCAUAACUAUGCUUGAUUUGUUCAAUGCUGAAUUUUUUUGUCAUAAUAAUCAUUGAAGCUUGCUAUUUAUCUUUAUAUGGCAGAUCCUUUUUGAAGCGGGUUCAUUUCUUGUUAAUUUUUUUUGUUGAUAUCUCUUUUGUUUAUCACCAAAGUGCGUUAACACUUUCUUUUAAUUAAGGAGGUAAUUUUGUGCUAUUCCUUGUAGAUUUAUCAUCUCCAUUACUUAGCUCGUUUAUGUGAGACAACAAUAUCUAAUAAUUUAAAUUUUUAUUUCGUAUUAGUGUUGAGGUUUAAAUAAGUGUUUCUUAAACCUUCUUUUUACUUUUUCUUUGAGUCCUUUCCGUAGUAUCCUCAUUUUAUCAUAUAACUGGGGUCUAUGUCAAUUAAAAGGACAAAAGUUUGGAGUUGUCAUAAUCCCGUCGGGGUGAUGAACUUGAAAUUAUUUUAUCAUUACGGACAAAUGACACCUGAAUUUUAACUGUCUUGGUUAAAUAUUUGAUCCUCUAAAAAAAUUUAAAUUCUGGGUCUUGUCAGGAUCUUCUGUCACCACAUAAUUUUUGUUGGUGUAGCAGGACUUUCAUAAUUUUUAUAUUUGAUUAAGUGUAGUAUUUGACAGUACUAGUAACACUUGUUGACUUGUAACCUGUAACACUUGUUGACCUUUAUUGCUUCUUAUUCGGAGCAAAUUUUCCUUCGACUUAUCUGUAUGUUUAUACAAUCUUCAUCUUGUGAGUAGCCGAAAAAGUAUAAGAAUGAUCUUUUGAUUAUUCUUUUAUUCUUUGUCUCAUUAAUUUCAUAGAAAAAAUCUUAUAAAAAUUUUGAGAGAUUUUUUCCCUUUAUUUGGAAAUUGAUAAUACAAUAUAAUUUUUAUGGAUUAUUAUUUUUUGAAAGAGGGUAACUCCUAGUGCUAAAAAAUUCUAGGAGGAGGAGAAGGUUUAAUAACCUUUAUUGUAAAAUUUUCUUGAUGUGAAAGCGAAUUUAUUUGAAAGA